AACGAACGCUGGCGGCAGGCCUAACACAUGCAAGUCGAACGCCGUAGCAAUACGGAGUGGCAGACGGGUGAGUAACACGUGGGAACGUACCCUUUGGUUCGGAACAACUCCGGGAAACUGGAGUUAAUACCGGAUAAGCCCUAUGGGGGAAAGAUUUAUCGCCGAAGGAUCGGCCCGCGUCUGAUUAGCUUGUUGGUAGGGUAACGGCUUACCAAGGCGACGAUCAGUAGCUGGUCUGAGAGGAUGAUCAGCCACAUUGGGACUGAGACACGGCCCAAACUCCUACGGGAGGCAGCGGUGGGGAAUCUUGCGCAAUGGGCGAAAGCCUGACGCAGCCAUGCCGCGUGGAUGAUGAAGGUCUUAGGAUUGUAAAAUCCUUUCACCGGUGAAGAUAAUGACUGUAGCCGGAGAAGAAGCCCCGGCUAACUUCGUGCCAGCCGCCGCGGUAAAAC
rnacentral:rRNA from 1 species